rnacentral:misc_RNA from 1 species
AUUAGAAGAUAAAUUUAAUUAAUUCAAAAUCAAGAUUAAAAAUGGGAAAACACAAAAAUAAUUAAAACAAUUGAAAUCGAAUUCUAUUUCAUAUAAUGCGUCUAUUAAAGAUCAUAAUUCUAUAGAAAAAAAAAAAAUCACUUGAGCACAAAAUUUCACAAAUCAAACUCAAGCAGCAACAACUCCUCAAUCAGCAAUGGUCCAAGUCAUGUCAUUCUCAAAGAUCCAAUGGCAGACCUCAAUUUGCCCAGGGCCGGACCCUAGCUCCACAAACGCCCCAUGUUCUGGACUCCAAGCUGACGUGUCAAGAUGACAAAUUGCAAUUCCAAGAUUGACCUUGGUUUUGCUCUCAACAUCCAAAAUUUCCGCCUCAUAAGCCCUCACUUUGGGCACUGAAUGGCAAUAGUACAGUAAGUAUGGGUAAAGGCUUUGGUGACAAGACACGGAUUUUGUCACUUCCCCACCUUUGAUUCCUUUGACUGAUCCCAACAUUACAUUUUUCUUUGACCCAUUAACAUUCUCAGUGGUCCUCACCACCACGUUGCGGCCCAAGACCGAGACAGCGAAGUCCGUCAUGUCCUCCACUGACCCAACACACCGCUUGGUCUCACCCUGGCUAGGUGCUCUCUCGCACUCAGCCAGUGAGUUCACAAGCACAUUCUCCAUGGUUGAGUCCUGUGGCGCAUGAAAAAUUUCCUUCAUCUCUGAGAGCCGAAGGGAUGAGAAUGGCAAUUUUGACACAAUUGAUCUGGGUAAAAAUGAUCUAGGGGGCAUUUUGUCUCUAAUGUCGGGCAUCGCCAUCACAUUCCCUUGCUUCAACAUGGACUCCCUGAAAAACUUGCCAGGCUCCACCCAUCUGCUACUUAAAAAGUUGUCACUACCGCUGCGACUACUUGUGUUGGUAUAAGCAGAGAAAGAGACACCCUUUUCGAUGUAAUCUUUGAAAGAUCGAUCAGAACCAUAAGUUUUGAAGCCAAUGGUGGUCAUGCCCUUGGAUCCUUUGCCGUAUUCUUUAAAUGUGUCGUUGCCAGGGUUGAAUGUUUUCCCAUAAUUAGUGAAACUAACUUUCCCUGCAUUUGUAUUCCUGGCGUAAGAUUGGAAUGAAUCUUGACCAACGUUGGCUCCAUUCCUGUAGCUGGAGAAGCUAUCAAUGGCAGAGUUUGCACCAGUAGCAUAACUCUUGAAAUUGUUAUGUGGGUUGUUACCUGAAAUGCCAUAACCUGUGAAUGAAUCAUUGGCUGCAUUGCCUAAUUCACCAUAACCAGUGAAUGUAGAAUCAAUAAUAUUUGAAUCUCCACUAUAGGUUGUGAACUCAGCUGGGACCCCAUUUCCUUUCUUUCCGUAGCUAGCAAAUGCUUGAGAACCAGAAUUUGUAUCACCGCUGUAGCUGGAAAAUGAGAGCUUGUGGUUAUUGCCUUCCGAGUCAUAAGUUGUGAAUCGGAGACCUGGCACAUUGACUCGGUCGUCGUAGUUCUUGAAUGCGCCGGAUCCGCCAGUGGCACCAGCGCCGUAGUUGCCAAAGGUUGCAUUGGCUACAUUUCCAUCAGUAGCAUAGUUUGUGAAUGUUUCACUAUGGCCUGUACCUUCGCGGCUGUACCGAAUAAAUGAAUCAGCAGCCGAGUUCAAUCCGUUGGAGUAGUUCUUGAAUGAAUCGGUUCCUCCGAGGUUCGACCUGCCAUAAUUUGCAAAGCGUUUGUUGGAAUAAAGUGCAAAGUUGGCAUCUUGGUCAUGAUUGCCUAAACUUGGUUUUGAGUCAAAGGUGCAGAACAAGUUAGCCAACGAACAAAAAGAGUCAAGAUGUGAAGAGAGCGAAUUCUGGGCGGCGAGUUUGGAGAAGAUAGCUGAGUCUACAGCACUGAGUGGAGAGGCUUUGGAGAGGAGAAAUGGUGGUUUAGGGAGGGUGUUAGAGAUGUGCUUGUUCCAAUAACGAAUCAGAGAUGCUCGCGGAGAAAAUGGGCUCAGCUCGGUUGACGAGAAAUUUUGCUUGCGUACACUACUAGUAGAAGCAAAAGAAACCUUUAAAGAUGAGAUUGAUAACAAAAGAAAGAAGAAGGGAAUAGUAACUUGGGUGAGUUCUCCUUCCCUGCCCAUUGUUUUGUGGCUUUGUUUGGUGU